UGAGUGUGUAAAAUAUUUACUUAUUUAUUCAUUUAAAAAUAACAAUAAUAAACCCAUUACAUGUUAACAUAAAUCACAUAUUUUUAAACUAUAGUUUCUAAAACAAGCAAACAAAAAAGAUUCAAUGAGAAGAACAGCGUUGUUUAAAUUUUUGUAAAUCUUUUUAGUGUCUGGGUUGAUAGAAGGCAGGUGGAUUCUCAUAUCUGCUUCUGCACUCACUGUGUUGUGACAUCACAUGUCAUGUAGCCUCUGGAAAACUUCCCUGUACACUUGUGAGCGAAUGAGAAUGAAAGAGACAAACUAUAUCUUAGUAUUAUGAUGAAAAGACCUAGAGGAGGACCUUCCUGGAGGACCUCCAGAAAGGAGUGCUCUUUGAGAACUGUGGUCUUAUGUCCUGAAGUACCAUCACAGAGCGCCAGAGAGCUGGUCCUGGAUGGAUAAAAGCACGGAUGCUGGCACUGGGCUCUGCCACUUUAGAGCUGUGUGACCUUGAGCAAGAAACUCAACCUCUCUGCCUCAGUCUUCUCAUCAGUAAUAUGGUGAUACAAUGGCAUCUAAGUUAUAAGGCUUCUUCGCUGCCCGAGUCAACAGUGUGGAGUACCAGAACACACCUUUGAGGUCUUGCAAACUUGGGUCAUAGUCCCAAUGCUGACCCAUUUAAGACUGUGUGACCUUAGGCAUGAGCCACAGGUUCCAGAGUAAAACGAGAUUAACA
rnacentral:lncRNA from 1 species